GAUGAACGCUGGCGGCGUGCCUAAUACAUGCAAGUCGAACGAGGCGCUUUUGUAGCAAUACGAGAGCGUCCUAGUGGCGAACGGGUGAGUAACGCGUUGGUGACCUGCCCCAAAGUGUGGGAUAACAGUCCGAAAGGAUUGCUAAUACCGCAUGUGGUCAUCGGGUUUAGAAACCGAUGUCUAAAGCAGUAAUGCGCUUUGGGAGGGACCUGCGUCCCAUCAGCUAGUUGGUGAGGUAACGGCCCACCAAGGCUACGACGGGUAGGGGACCUGAGAGGGUGGCCCCCCACAAUGGAACUGAAACACGGUCCAUACACCUACGGGUGGCAGCAGUAGGGAAUAUUGCACAAUGGGCGAAAGCCUGAUGCAGCAACGCCGCGUGCGCGAUGAAGGUCUUCGGAUCGUAAAGCGCUUUUCUGGGAGAUGAGAAAGGACAGUAUCCCAGGAAUAAGUCUCGGCUAACUACGUGCCAGCAGCCGCAGUAACAC
rnacentral:rRNA from 1 species